rnacentral:lncRNA from 1 species
UUCAUGCGCAUCUACAAUGUUGUCAAGCUUGGGUCAUCGCUCAAUCUCACAACCAAUCUCAAGAACGUCCAGAAGGAGAUAUAAAGCAAAUCUACAAGGCUCCUUCAAGAUCUGGAAUUAUCCUAUUCCCACUUGUUAUGUUUCUUACCUAUGCCAUAGAUCUCAGUUGUGUCCAAUUGUUGCUAUGCAACAACUACAUGCACUUUGAUGAUUUAUAGCAAUAAAAUUAAUAAAUACAUGAUGAGUAUAAGACGUUAAUCAUCUUAGUGUUCAUUUGUUGUCAUUUACUUGUAAAUUAUCUUUUUAACACAGUACAGACACAAACGCUCAUAUAUACGCGCGUAUACUCACCCCUAUUAACACACACACGCACAUCCUAUCUCUAUGAGCACGUCCGAGAGACUGGGCUGGCAUACAUUUUUGCAGGAAUGCCUAGUAGUGGCAGGCGUCAAAUGGCGAGUAGUGACGAGCAAGGCACCCACGGGCUCCCGCCACUGACCUCCUGUCGCUGCUAUAAUGUCAUCAGUGGCGAGCGGGCACCCACCACCGUUAGAUCUUAUCAAGUGGCGGGCGCUGGUGAGUGCCCGCCAUUGGUGCAUGUUAACACUUGCGGUGAGUUGUACCUGCCACCCGCCACUGCUACCUCUUUAGCCUGCAACUAUAGCAGCUCCUAUGCAUUACAGGAUACAAAUAACCAUAUUACGACAUACAACUAACGUUAGUGAUCANNNNNNNNNNACUAACCUCCUGUCGCUGCUAUAAUGUCAUCAGUGGCGUGCGGGCACCCACCACUGUUAGAUCUUAUCCAGUGGCGGGCGCUGCUGAGUGCCCGCCAUUGGUGCAUGUUAACACUUGCGGUGAGCUGUACCUGCCACCCGCCACUUCUACCUCUUCAGCCUGCAACCAUAGCAGCUCCUAUGCAUUGCAGGAUACAAAUAACCAUAUUACGACAUACAACUAACGUUAGUGAUCANNNNNNNNNNNNNNNNNNNNNNNNNNNNNNNNNNNNNNNNNNNNNNNNNNNNNNNNNNNNNNNNNNNNNNNNNNNNNNNNNNNNNNNNNNNNNNNNNNNNUUUACAUGUGUGGAUACAUAGACAAAACACCGUCCCUAGCAUGCCUCUAGUUGGCUAGCCAGUUGAUCAAUGAUAGUCAGUGUCUUCUGAUUAUGAACAAAGUGUUGUUGCUUGAUAACUGGAUCACGUCAUUGGGAGAAUCACGUGAUGGACUAGACCCAAACUAAUAGACGUAGCAUGUUGAUCGUGUCAUUUUAUUGCUACUGUUUUCUGCAUGUCUAGUAUUCAUUCCUAUGACCAUGAGAUCAUAUAACUUACUGACACCGGAGGAAUGCUUUGUGUGUAUCAAACGUCGCAACGUAACUGGGUGACUAUAAAGAUGCUCUACAGGUAUCUCCGAAGGUGCUAGUUGAGUUAGUAUGGAUCAAGACUGGGAUUUGUCACUCCGUGUGACGGAGAGGUAUCUCGGGGCCCACUCGNNNNNNNNNNNNNNNNNNNNNNNNNNNNNNNNNNNNNNNNNNNNNNNNNNNNNNNNNNNNNNNNNNNNNNNNNNNNNNNNNNNNNNNNNNNNNNNNNNNNNNNGCAACAUCACACACAAGCCUUGCAAGCAAUGUAACUUAGUGUAAGUUGCGGGAUCUUGUAUUACGGAACGAGUAAAGAGACUUGCCGGUAAACGAGAUUGAAAUAGGUAUGCGGAUACUGACGAUCGAAUUUCGGGCAAGUAAUAUACCGAAGGACAAAGGGAAUGACAUACGGGAUUAUACGAAUCCUUGGCACUGAGGUUCAAACGAUAAGAUCUUCGUAGAAUAUGUAGGAUCCAAUAUGGGCAUCCAGGUCCCGCUAUUGGAUAUUGACCGAGGAGUCNNNNNNNNNNNNNNNNNNNNNNNNNNNNNNNNNNNNNNNNNNNNNNNNNNNNNNNNNNNNNNNNNNNNNNNNNNNNNNNNNNNNNNNNNNNNNNNNNNNNCGGAAACGAAGAUUGAUAUAUAGGAUGACCUCAUUUGAUUACCGGAAGAUUUUCGGAGUUACCGGGAAUGUAUCGGGAAUGACGAAUGGGUUCCGGGAGUUCACCGGGGGGGCAACCCAACCCGGGGAAGCCCAUAGGCCUUGAGGGCGGCACACCAGCCCUUAGUGGGCUGGUGGGACAGCCCAAAAGAGCCCUAUGCGCCUAGGAAGAAAAUCAAAGAAAAAAGAAAAAAAAAAGAGGUGGGAAGGGAAGGAAGGACUCCCACCCACCAAACCAAGUCCAACUCGGUUUGGCGGGGGGGAGCCUUCCCCCUUGGACUCGGCCGACCCCCUUGGGGCUCCUUGAGCCCCCAGGCAAGGUCCCCUCCCUCCCACCUAUAUAUACGGAGGUUUUAGGGCUGAUUUGAGACGACUUUUCCACGGCAGCCCGACCACAUACCUCCACGGUUUUUCCUCUAGAUCGCGUUUCUGUGGAGCACGGGCGGAGCCUUGCUGAGACAAGGUCAUCACCAACCUCCGGAGCGCCGUCACGCUGCCGGAGAACUCUUCUACCUCUCCGUCUCUCUUGCUGGAUCAAGAAGGCCGAGAUCAUCGUCGAGCUGUACGUGUGCUGAACGCGGAGGUGCCGUCCGUUUGGUACUAGAUCGUGGAACUGAUCGCGGGAUUGUUCGCGGGGCGGAUCGAGGGACGUGAGGACGUUCCACUACAUCAACCGCGUUUACUAACGCUUCUGCUGUACGGUCUACAAGGGUACGUAGAUCACUCAUCCCCUCCCAUAGAUGGACAUCACCAUGAUAGGUCUUCGUGCGUGUAGGAAAAUUUUUGUUUCCCAUGCGACGCUCCCCAACAGUGGCAUCAUGAGCUAGGUUCAUGCGUAGAUGUCUUCUCGAGUAGAACACAAAAGUUUUUGUGGGCGGUGAUGUGCGUUUUGCUGCCCUCCUUAGUCUUUUCUUGAUUCCGCGGUAUUGUUGGAUCGAAGCGGCUCGGACCGACAUUACUCAUACGCUUAUGAGAGACUGGUUUCAUCACUACGAGUAACUCCGUUGCUCAAAGAUGACUGGCGGGUGCCAGUUUCUCCAACUUUAGUUGAAUCGGAUUUGACCGAGGAGGUCCUUGNNNNNNNNNNGUACGCUUACGAGAGACUGGUUUCAUCGCUACGAGUAAUUCCGUUGCUCAAAGAUGACUGGCGGGUGUCAGUUUCUCCAACUUUAGUUGAAUCGGAUUUGACCGAGGAGGUCCUUGGAUGAGGUUAAAUAGCAACUCAUAUAUCUCCGUUGUGGUGUUUGCGUAAGUAAGAUGCGAUCCUACUAGAUACCCAUGGUCACCUCGUAAAACAUGCAACAACGAAAUUAGAGGACGUCUAGCUUGUUUUUGCAGGGUAUGCUUGUGAUGUGAUAUGGCCAACGAUGUGAUGUGAUAUAUUGGAUGUAUGAGAUGAUCAUGUUGUAAUAGAUAAUAUCGACUUGCACGUCGAUGGUACGGCAACCGGCAGGAGCCAUAGGGUUGUCUUUAUAACUAACGUUUGUGCUUGCAGAUGCGUUUACUAUUUUUCUAGGAUGUAGCUUUAGUAGUNNNNNNNNNNNNNNNNNNNNNNNNNNNNNNNNNNNNNNNNNNNNNNNNNNNNNNNNNNNNNNNNNNNNNNNNNNNNNNNNNNNNNNNNNNNNNNNNNNNNAGGAUCGUAUUCCAAAUAGGUUCAAAACGCUAAUAAGGGAAGGAGCGCAUGCCUUACUAUGGUCGCUUUGGUUAUGUAGAAAUGAUUUGAUUUUCAAUAACAAAAAUGCUUCUCCUUUGCAGGUUAUUUUUUGUUGUACGCACUCGCUUCAUAUGUGGUCUACGCUACAACGAGUGGAGUACCAACCGAUGUUUAAGGCGUUAUGUACGCGGUUGGAGCAGGUGGCUAUGGAAGUUUUUACCCAACAUGGGUGGCAACAUAAUCUCUGGAUAGGUCCACCAUCCCUUCCCGCCAAGUGUUUUCGGGGGAAGAGGAAUGGGGCCACUAUAAAAGAGAGGCCCGGCCUCCAUAGCAAGGAUUCCAUCGACUCUAAGAGGUUAAGAACCCUCCUUUGUACUUGUCGUCCACCUCAAGCAAUCCAGACAAGCAGGAGUAGGGUUUUACACCACAAAGUGGCCUGAACUUGGGUAAACUGCUCGUGUGUUCUUGUUCGCCUUCCUUAGCUCGAGCUAUAGGAUAGUCACGGUGAAAUUGAGAGGUAUAACAGGGAAUGAGAGCGAGCGCACCCCGGAGGUCUGCGGAGCCCUGAUUCCGUCAGUUUCUUGGAAUUCUUGACCUGCAAAUCAAGAAUGAGGCCCUACUUAGUAAGUGGUUGUUUAAACUUCUUACUUAGGAUGGUGUUUGGCAAACCAUGUUGCAUAACAAGUAUCUAGGCCAAAAGGCGGUGUUUCAGACAUAUUGGAAACCUGACGACUCACACUUUUGGGCUGGCCUAGUGGUGCCAAAGAAACAUCUCAUUCGCUUUGGGUCUUUCACGAUAUCCAGGGGGAAGACAUGUGACUAGGCAAUGCCAGUCUCCGAGGACAAUAUCUAGCCCUGUACAACAUUGCUCAUGAUAAGAAUAAAACAAUUGCGUAGGUCCUCAGUUCAUUCCCCACUCAAUAUUUCAUUUAGGCAGGGUUUGAUUAGCCCCCGACUUAUGUCAUGGCAUAAUCUUUUAUCCCGUCUGGAUUUGAUCAAUUUGACACAAGGUCGAGAUGUGUUUCGCUGAAACCAUGCUACAUCGGGGUCUUCUACAGUAGACUCUAUGUAUCAUGUGCUCAUGCAUUCUGGGGUACUGGUGAAUAAUAACAGCAAAAUCUGGAAGUCAAAUAUUUGACUAAAAGUUAAAAUCUUCAUGUGUUAUCUUGGUAGGGGAUUUAUCCUAACCAAAGAUAACCUCGCACGAUGCAACUGGCCAGGGAGUAAGAAGUGUUGUUUUUGUACUCAUGAAGAGACAAUCAAACAUAUCUUCUUCCAAUACAAGUUUGCACGUUCUGCGUGGUCAGUCUUCCAAAUAGCGUCAAAUUUGUAUCCAUCCACAAGUAUAGCCAAUAUUUUUGGUCACUGGUUCGACGGUAUUCCAAAUAGGUUCAAAACGUUAUAAAGGUGGGAGCGUAUGCCUUACUAUGGCCGCUUUGGCUAUGUAGAGAUGAUUUCAUUUUCAAUAACAAAAAUGCUUCUCCUUUGCAGGUUAUUUCCCGUUGUACGCACUCGCUUCAUACGUGGUCUACGCUACAAUGAGUGGAGUACGAACCGCUGUUUAACGCGUUGUGUACGCGGUUGGAGCAGCUGGCUUCAGGAUGUAAGUGGGUUGUUCGCUGGACGCUCUUGGACUUGGCCACAUUGCCCAUUACAUUUUACGUGGGAUUAAGUGGUAGCCCAGUUAAUUUUUAUGCGGGACUUAUGACGUCCAUAUAUUGUCCAUAUAUUGCAACAUUCAUACUUUCUCAGAUAAAAAUACUCUAAAUCUUUCUUCAGAAAAAAAUAUACUUUCUGAGAUAAAAAUAUUGUCCAUAUACACUAACAAAAUAGACUUUCUCAGAUAAAAAUACUCCGAAUCUCUCUUCAGAUUAAUUCAACUGCCAUGUACAGAUAGCUACCUGUACAGGGCAGAUGAAUUAUACUAUAGCAAGGUGGAUAACACUAAACAAGUACUUACAACAACCUAAAAACUAGCAGCAACAAGGGUCGGGCAUAAUGACAAACAGAUAAAGAACAGGAUCAUCAGACACAACAGGUUAAAUUCACGGUCAUCAUCUGUGCAUCCAAAGUAGUGAUUAUGUUGAUAAGAGAGCCCUUGCCAUCUUUGGUGGGACGCAAGAAGGCAUAUAACUCUGCCACGAUUUCUUUUUCUAUAUCGGCAUUCAUCAAAGCUUGGCUGAAAGACUGCAGUGCAGCGAUGAGGAUAGAGGAAGUUUCUUCUGUGUCUUUGGGGACAUCAUGUUCAGUUUCUGAUUCCUCCUACUACAAAGAGGGAUUUCAGUGUAAACAAUAAAUUGAACUGUAUGCAUAGACAGAAAGCUCUGCAAGGCUACAGAUUCUAAUGAUACAACAUCAGUUUACUUAAGCUCUUACACAGGUAGUGAAGGUUAAACAUGAUACUGUUCCACAAUACCAUCUCAGUUCUCAAAGUGGUAACCAUCAGAAAGAAUGUGUAGAGGCACAAAAAUUCUAAACCUCAUAUAUGGGCAAUGCAGGACUAUAUAAUAUCAUCGUACUACUAACAAACAAUCUCCAAACGAAUUUGUAUUGGAAACUUCUGCAAUUACUGCUUUGAACUUAUCCAACCGAGAGGGGGAACUCUUAACAUACUUUGCACUCUCUCUUAUAUUAUCUAUCACACCUUUCAUCACUGUCAACCCAUCUUGGAAAAUCAAAUUUAGCACAUGGCAUGCAUAACGAAUGUGAAAUAAUUCACCUUCAAUAGGCAUCAUAUGCUUGUUGUUCAGAUUUUUUCUUAGAUAGUCAACCAUUGUGCCAUUAACAGCUGCAUUGUCUAAUGUUAUACUAAAGAGUUUGUCUUCAAUGUUCCAAUCUUGCAAACUCUUUAACAAUACAUUAAACAUUGAUAUUCCAUUAUGUGGAGUCUCUACCAUAAGAAACCUUAUGAUCUGUUUUCUCAAAGCCCACUUUGUGACAAAAUGGCAAGUUAUGCAUAGAUAUGACAAAGUUUGAUUAGACGUCCACAUAUCAGCUGUUAAAGAGACUCUGCCUCUAUAUUUCUUGAAACCUUCACGGAAUUUUAAUCUCUCUUCAUUAAACUAUUCCAUGCAAUCAUCUUUAAUAGUACCUCUAGAAACCAUGCUAAACAAGGGAUUCAAGCUUUUCACAAAGUCUCAAAAGCCACUAUACUCAACAAAAGUGAUAAUUUGUGACGCUCAUUCCAUGACGAUUCACUGAAAAAACGUCACAGUUUGUGAAAUUAAGAUGAUUCCGUGACGUUUUUUCACUGAAUCAUCAUGGAAUGUGCGUCAUAGAUUAUCACAUUUGUUGUAGUAGGCAACUCAUCCAUUACUAUCAUUCUAGCCAGCAACUUCCUAGAUGCAAUCUGAUCAAAACUCCAUUGUUGAAGCAUAGAUCAUGAGGAGAUGAAAUUGAGGACUUCAACUUGUCAACAACAAGGGACAAAUCUGACCUUGUUUCGCAAGCAGCCAAGUGCAUUUGUACACCAUUAGUACCCACGCCACGUCCAGCUGGAAACACCUCAAGACAGUGGUUGCACUGAGCUUUGACAAGUAUGUUAUGAUGAUAAAUAGGUUUGGCAUCCCUCCAAACAACAUAAGUUAAUCUUCCUGUCUUGCGGACUGUUAAUUGGCAAGCAUAAAAAUAAAGUCAACUCACAAGAACAUUUUUAAAGUUGUAACUGUAUACAAGAGUAAUUUUGGAAGAGAAUAACGAAGCCAACUCACUACGUGGUACAAAUGAAGUAGUAAGAGGAGAAGGGGAUCCUAAUAUAGAUGGUGACAUCGCGGACGACUUUCUUGAGGCUGCAACUCUUGCUAGAACCCCAAGGGAAGACCUCCAUGUGUUAGCCACCGGUGAUCCUACCAAUGGGAAUCUGGUCACUCUUUGACCAUGUGUCAUAGAUGGAGAGUCUCGACUCUAGAUAACAAAACAAAGAAAAUCAGACCCUGCUAUGAAAUUAAAGUAAGGUACAGAAGCAGAUUUGUGUUACGAAGUGAGGUUUAAUAUAUAAGCAGACCUGUAGCUCCUCUCUUGUAGCUCCUUGGAUAAAUUUCGUACGAGCAUGUUUCCUCUUCCCCUGCAGCUCCUCCUUUUGGUUUUUCCUCUUCUUAUCUUGCUUCUUCCUCUUCUCUUCCCUUUUCUCUUCCCUCUUCUCUUCCAUCCUUUUCCUUUUCGCCUUCUGCCUUUGUUUUUUCUUCUGCCUCUCUGCCCUGUAAUGCAAACGUUGGGGGUCAAAAUAGAAAUCAAAAAAUACAGUUAAUGUCACAGGAAAACACAUGAGGGCGAGGGACUUACUUCUGUUGCUCUUCAAUAGCAUUCCACACAUGUUGUUCCUGGUCCAUGGCUUCCCACUUUUCAGUUUGCUUGUCGAUUGUCAACGCCACUUGGUCGUCACCCAUGGUCACUUCAAUGAAAUUUGCAUUGAAAUGUCAUAUUAGAUGUUUCAGCAGAACAUAAGUUCCGAUUUGGUUCAUCUAACAUUCUAGGCUGGAACGAACUAAAGAUAGUCACUGAAAUGCAUCAAUUAGCAUCUGGGAAGGGUUCUGAAAUAUUUUAAUUUUUAAUUUUAUUAGAAAAUAUUUUAAGUUUGCGAUGAUCAGCAGCUGCGGCAUUAGAAUUCUUUCUCGAAACAUUUCAGACUGGUCAUUGGUUUUUCCUUUCCGGCCUCCACAAAGUGCGCUCUUAGUCUCCCGAUUCAUGGGGUGCCAGUCGAUGCCCUUCUUCCUGUUAGUGCUCAAGAUCAACCACACCAACUAAUUAUCCUAUCAGUACUGGCUGCUAUGCUAUCAGUGCUGGCUGCUAUGCUAUGCUAUCAGUAUAAGUCCAAAAAUAGAGCUCAGCAACAAACAACAGUAGUGCAAAAUUAGGGCGCGGUGGCAGAUAAGGAUUGUUUUCAUCUAGCUGCCAUCUCGAAGCGAUUAAGUAGCUGGGUUCAGAUUAAGUAGCUAGGUUCAUAUUAAAAUAUCAACAGUUCAUGCACCUGUUGUUAAAGGUUGCAAACAUUAAUACAUAUAUGUGUAAAGUGCUAGCAUGUAUGAUGAUUUCCUAACCCCCGCAAUGGCAAUGCUAUGGCUGCAUUUAAAUUAUGCAUCAAAUUAACAUCACGUAGAUUCAGAAAAGAAACUAAUCAUAAGCGUGUGACUCUACAAAAUGCAGUAAAUUAUGCAGCAAAUUAACAACACGUAGAUUCAGAAAAGAAACUAAUCAAACCCGCAGGCGCAACCAAUCAAAAUCGUUAAAGUCUAAGAGAAAGAAUGACAAGUCACUGACUGCUCUGCUCUUGUCGUGGUCGGGGACUCGUGCGCUCGUCCCUACCUUUUAACCAGAUCAUCUUGUUCUUCAGUCUCCCCUUGCUACAAAUAACAUCGCGGCAGCCAGGCCCGAGGGAUCCGCCGCCGUGGCUGGCUAGGGUUCGUCGCGGAGGAGAAGCUGGCUGUUGGGGAGGGGAGUGGAAGGUGAGGUCUGUGCAUACCUGGGAGCAGAAGAGGAGGAGGCGGGGGAGCAGGUGCCGGGAUUGGGGAAGGAGCAGCCACACAAGGCUCGGCUUUCUCCACGAUGACCCCCUUUGACGGCGAAGGAGGAGGGGGAGCCAAAGAUGGCAUCGGCAGGAUGAGGGAGAGAGAGCAGAGGAUGCAUUCCCGCAAGGCUCUGCUCGAUCCCCAGCGAUUUCCUUGGACGGCGGUGGCGGUGGCGGCGGCGCUAUGGAUCGGGAGCGGGAUGUGGUGGCACGGUGCGGUGGAGAUGGGGCGAACUAGGCCAUGGUUGCGAAAAUUAUGGACUAUCGAUGGGCUUUUCUGGGCUAUCUAUUUAUCCCAGUUAAUUUUUAUGGGUAUCCACAAAAGCCAUUUAAGAAUUAUUUUUUUAUGGAUGGCAUAUGUGGGACUAGUGGGUCCCAACGCCAUUUACAUCUGUAAGCUGGCUACGGAAGUUUUUACCCAACAUGGGUGGCAACAUAAUCUCCGGAUCGAUCCAUCAUCCCUUUCGAUAUAUGCAUAGUGUCGGUCUAUAUGACUCUACUCUCGUCGAUUUGUCGCUUUUUUCCUUUUUGUGAGACUUUACGUGUUUGGCUGUGUGCAUCGUAGUUAUGCAGAGGCCGGAUGUUACAAUGACUUGUAUCGGCUUGAUGAUAUAUUUAAAGAUAAUAAAAACACCUUUUAUCAAAAAAAAAGGAACAAAUCAAGUGUCCCCUAUCUGCGUGUUACCAAAUGACUACAUGGAUUAGAACCAUAAUACAUCAAACAAUUUUUAAUACAUGCAGGUAGUUGGCGAGUCUAGCAACAAGAAGUUUGCCGCUCUCAGGAUAAAUGACUAUUUUUUCUUCAGUAAAAGAAAAUGUCUAUCCCGGUAAAAAAAAACUGUUACAGUUCUUUGUUUUGUUUGUUAGAUUAUAAUCGUAACAAGUUAAAGUACUAGUUNNNNNNNNNNNNNNNNNNNNNNNNNNNNNNNNNNNNNNNNNNNNNNNNNNNNNNNNNNNNNNNNNNNNNNNNNNNGUAAAGAAUGACAUAUAACAUGUACAAUCAAUAUUUAUCAAACUGUAUCCCCUCAAAAAGGGAAAAACAUUGUAUGUCACAUUCUUGUGGGAUGCCAAGUCGCCGUCAAUUCAUGAUAGGAAAUAUUUUUCUUUUCAUGAAACUUUCCUUAUUUUUAAAUAUUCAUAAACAACAUUACCGGCUUUUGAAAAUGCUUUGCUCAACGUUGAGAAUUUAAAACAUUAGAAUUUCAAUUUUCUACGGUUUAUUUUAUUUUUAAAUUCUGAACUUCUAAAGUUUUGGACUUCAGAAAUUUUAGGCGUGUAAACAUGUGAUAUAUCUUAUUUAUUUUCAGAAAAUAUGCAUUGAGAGAAUAUCUAGAAAGAAACUUAUUGAGCAUAUUCCCAUGGACAUGUGUAAACGCGCGAUAUAUCUUGGUUAUUCUCUUUUUACAGAUCUUACAUCUAGGGGCCAUAUAUUUAGCAUGCACAUUUCUUUAAAUAUUAGUAUGAGAAGGAUCGCUCUAGGUUAGCAUUUUUCAAUUUAAUAUAGAUUUUACACUACUAUGAAUCAUUAGUACUUCACCACAUACAUAUAUAAUCUUUCAUUUGAAUAUGUAUCUGUUUCUAUAUUUAAAAUAUUAUUAUCCAUUAUGUAUCUGAGAUGUAUAUGUUUUAGAAAAUUAGGGAAAAUGCGCUUUUAAAUUAUGUCAAUGCUAUCCAACGUGAGUUCACUGCCAAGAUUGAUAUGUGAUGCAUGCACAUCUGUAUUUCUUUUAAUUACGAGUUUAUUUGAUAAAUGGAGAUUUCUUUUUGGAAGAGAUAACACAACAGUUUACAUACUUAUGUUAACCACAUCAACCAUAUGUUGCAUAUAUUAUAGAAAGGAGGGUAAUACUAAUUAAUAGGCACCUCAUGCAUGCGUACAUCUCCUUUUUUUAGGAUGUGAAGUGACAUUGGUAUAAUGGAUAAGUUUAUGCAAGAAUGAGUCUUUUGACCCAUAAUGCUAGACAAAUGCUGACUGAGCUCAAAACUAACAUGACUUCAUGCUCAUCAAAUCUUAGUCGCACAAUUGAUGUCAUAAGGUUAUUUUUAUUACUAAUUUUUAUGUUGUGGCGCACCAUAGGGACGUUAUCGAGAAGUUCACUAGCCAAACCAGAGACGUGGGGAAGGAAUUGUUGCGCCUCUUGUGUGACGGUAUGGGGAUCCGGGCUGACUACUUUGAGGGAGACCUUAGCGGGGGUAAUGUGAUCCUCAACAUCAACCACUAUCCAUCUUGCCCGAACCCAGACAAAGCGCUUGGACAGCCGCCCCAUUGUGACCGAAAUCUCAUCACCCUCCUACUCCCUAGCGCUGUCAAUGGCCUCGAGGUCUCCUACAAGGGGGACUGGAUUAAGGUUGACCCUGCACCUAACGCAUUUGUUGUCAACUUCGGCCAACAACUCGAGGUAAUUGAUUGUUUGAGCAUUGUUUGCUCCGAUAAACAACACCAAGCUGAUUGAUUGGCUAUUCAUGUGGAUGCAGGUUGUGACAAAUGGGUUGUUAAAGAGCAUAGAGCACCGUGCAAUGACAAACUCAGCGCUUGCACGCACAUCGGUGGCUACCUUUAUCAUGCCUACUCAAGAAUGUCUUAUUGGUCCCGCGAAGGAGUUCCUUAGCAAAGAAAACCCACCGUGCUACCGCACCACCAUGUUUCGUGACUUCAUGCGCAUCUACAAUGUUGUCAAGCUUGGGUCAUCGCUCAAUCUCACAACCAAUCUCAAGAACGUCCAGAAGGAGAUAUAAAGCAAAUCUACAGGACUCCUUCAAGAUCUCGAAUUAUCCUAUUCCCACUUGUUAUGUUUCUUACCUAUGCCAUAGAUCUCAGUUGUGUCCAAUUGUUGCUAUGCAACAACUACAUGCACUUUGAUGAUUUAUAGCAAUAAAAUUAAUAAAUACAUGAUGAGUAUAAGACGUUAAUCAUCUUAGUGUUCAUUUGUUGUCAUUUACUUGUAA